AUUGAACGCUGGCGGCAUGCUUUACACAUGCAAGUCGAACGGCAGCAUGGGUGCUUGCACCUGAUGGCGAGUGGCGAACGGGUGAGUAAUAUAUCGGAACAUGUCCGGAAGUGGGGGAUAACGUAGCGAAAGUUACGCUAAUACCGCAUAUGCCCUGAGGGGGAAAGGAGGGGAUCGAAAGACCUUUCGCUUUCGGAGUGGCCGAUAUCAGAUUAGCUAGUUGGUGAGGUAAAGGCCCACCAAGGCGACGAUCUGUAGCGGGUCUGAGAGGAUGAUCCGCCACACUGGGACUGAGACACGGCCCAGACUCCUACGGGAGGCAGCAGUGGGGAAUUUUGGACAAUGGGGGCAACCCUGAUCCAGCCAUGCCGCGUGAGUGAAGAAGGCCUUCGGGUUGUAAAGCUCUUUCGGACAGAAAGAAAUCGUGCAGUCUAAUACACUGCAUGGAUGACGGUACUGUAAGAAGAAGCACCGGCUAACUACGUGCCAGCCGCCGCAGUAA
rnacentral:rRNA from 1 species